rnacentral:rRNA from 1 species
GACGUAGGGUGCAAGCGUUGUCCGGAUUUAUUGGGCGUAAAGAGCUCGUAGGCGGCUUGUUGCGUCGACUGUGAAAAACCCGCGGCUUAACCGCGGGCUUGCAGUUGAUACGGGCAGGCUAGAGUUCGGUAGGGGAGACUGGAAUUCCUGGUGUAGCGGUGAAAUGCGCAGAUAUCAGGAGGAACACCGGUGGCGAAGGCGGGUCUCUGGGCCGAUACUGACGCUGAGGAGCGAAAGCGUGGGGAGCGAACAGG